UAAUAGGAACAUAAGAGCAUACGGUGGAUGCCUUGGCUCUAACAAGCGAUGAAAGACGUGAUCAGGCGGCGAUACGCUUCGGGGAGGUGCCUAAUUACCUUCGAUCCGGAGAUUUCUGAAUGGGGAAACCUCACACGAGUAAUGUCGUGUGACCUAAGGUAGCAUUACCUAGGAGCUUACUCAGGGAAGUGAAACAUCUCAGUACCUGAAGGAAAAGAAAACAAAAGUUAUUCUGCAAGUAGCGGCGAGCGAAAACAGAGAAGCCCAAACCAGUGCACCACUUUGUAUUUAAUUGUUCAUGUAUUUUUUAGAGGGCAAGCAGAGAACUGAAUGUGGUCCGUUUCGAUACGAGUCCGCAUGAAGACGUUUGACGCAGUAAAAUGGAAGCUCAUAAAUCCCGUGCAUGUAAGUAAGUCAAAAGUAGCGGCGAGCGAAAUUGAGCAUGAAAGCGUGCUGGUAAAGCCGAUCACGAGCGAGUAACGAACGGCUCAGUGAUCUGAGGAAGACCGUCUUCCUAGGGGCUUUCUGGAAGUCCCGCAAUCGGAACCAGUUAGCGAGCAACCUACCCUCUACCAAUUAGCACGAAGUUCUUCCAAGAACUUCGUGCCCUCUAAAAAAUACAUGAACAGCAUUUUACAUUAAAUAUAAAGUGGUGCACUGGGGUAGUAAGAUAGAAGCGUAGUUUACUAGAAGAGUUACAAAGGAUACAUAUAGAUAAAGUUGUUGGAAAGCAACGCCAAAGAAAGUGAUAGCCUUGUUAUCGAAAUGUGUAUCUCUCUUUUGCUUCUAAUCUUGAGUAAUUCGAGACAUGAAUAGCUCGGAUGAAUCAACCGGAACUAACCGGUAAGGCUAAAUAUUGUUAGAGACCGAUAGUGAACUAGUACCGUGAGGGAAAGGUGAAAAGAACCCCGGAAGGGGAGUGAAAUAGAACUGAAACCGUAUGUUUACAAAGAGUAGAAGAGGUAUUUAUACCUCGACUGCGUGCCUAUUGAAGAAUGAGCCAACGAGUUGUAGGUUACUGCAGGCUAAGUGGUAUAAAGUCACGGAGCCAUAGCGAAAGCAAGUGUUAAUAGCGCGAACAAAUUGUAGUAGCUUACAGACCCGAAGCCAGAUGAGCUUACCAUGAGCAGGGUGAAGUACAUCGAAAGAUGUAUGGAGGCCCGAACCAGUAGGUUGUACGACUCCUUUGGAUGACUUGUGGUAUGGAGUGAAAAGCUAAUCGAAUCUGGUAAUAGCUGGUUCUCUCCGAAAUAGUUUUUGGACUAGCGUCGCGUGUUCCUCUUGGGGGUAGAGCACUGGAAGGUUUUGACUAGUAGAAAUACGGCAACACCUAUCAAACUCCGAAUACCAAGAGUUAAAAAUGCGGCAGUAAGACUCCGGGGGCGAAGCUCCGGUGGUCAAAAGGGAAACAGCCCUGAUCUCAAGUUAAGGUCCCUAAGUAUAGAUUAAGUGUAAGCGAGGAGGUGGAGUUUCAUUGACAAUGAGGAUGUUGGCUUAGAAGCAGCCAUCAUUGAAAGAAAGCGUAACAGCUCACCCAUCGAGAGACUCUGCGCCGUAAAUGAUCGGGACUAAAAUCUAUCACCGAAACUGAGGGCUUGUGCGGAGCACAAGCUAGUUUAAAGUUUUUAAAGUUUAUAAAGUCAAAAGUGAAUGCGAAUUUCGUAUUUACUUUCAACUUUUUACUUUCAACUUUUGACUUGCUUGUGCUACGCACAAGCGGUAGGAGAGUGUUCCACUCUGCGUUGAAGCUAAAGGGGUGACCCAUAGUGGAGCGUGUGGAAGUACGAAUGUUGGCACAAGUAACCGCAAGGAGGGUGAGAUCCCCUCCCGCCGAAAGAAUAAGGUUUCCU
rnacentral:rRNA from 1 species